rnacentral:rRNA from 1 species
UGCCAGCAGCCGCGGUAAGACGAAGGUGGCAACCGUUGUUCGGAAUCACUGGGCAUAAAGCGCGCGUAGGCGGACAUGUAGGUCGGGUGUGAAAUCCCUCGGCCUAACCGAGGAACUGCGCCCGAUACUGUGUGUCUUGAGGGCAGGAGGGGAUCGUGGAAUUCCUGGUGGAGCGGUGAAAUGCGUUGAUAUCAGGAGGAACACCGGCGGCGAAGGCGACGAUCUGGCCUGUUUCUGACGCUGAGGUGCGAAAGCCAGGGGAGCAAACGGGAUUAGAUA